rnacentral:rRNA from 1 species
UAGGGAAUAUUGCAAAAUGGGCGAAAGCCCGAUGCAGCAACGCCGCGUGGGCGAUGAAGGCCUUCGGGUCGUAAAGCCCUUUUUGAGGGGAUGAGGAAGGACAGUACCCUCAGAAUAAGCCUCGGCUAACUACGUGCCAGCAGCCGCGGUAAAACGUAGGAGGCGAGCGUUAUCCGGAUUUACUGGGCGUAAAGCGCGUGCAGGCGGAUUGGAGAGUUGGAUGUGAAAGCUCCCGGCUUAACUGGGAGAGGUCGUUCAAUACUUCCAGUCUUGAGCGCAGUAGAGGGAAGUCGAAUUCCGAGUGUAGUGGUGAAAUGCGUAGAUAUCCGGAGCAAAACCAGUGGCGAAAGCGGCUUCCUGGACUGUAACUGACGCUCAGACGCGAAAGCUAGGGUAGCAAACG